UACGGAGGGUGCGAGCGUUGUCCGGAAUCACUGGGCAUAAAGGGCGCGUAGGCGGUCCCUUAAGCGUGUGGUGAAAGCUCGGGGCUCAACCUCGAGUCGGCCAUGCGAACUGGGGGACUUGAGCACGGGUAGAGGCCAAUGGAAUUCCGGGUGUAGCGGUGGAAUGCGUAGAGAUCCGGAAGAACACCGGUGGCGAAGGCGGUUGGCUGGGCCGUGGCUGGACG
rnacentral:rRNA from 1 species